CUAUGAAAGCAGUUUCUGGACACCAGCUGGUCCUGAGUGUAUAAUGGCGCUGCAGAACCUUGGAGACAUAAGUCAGAGUUGGGUGCGAUUUACAGUCCAUGGAAAUACUCGGCGCUGUGAGCGCACAGAACGAGUGCCCGCCAGAACCUCGGGAGAGUAAUUAGAUGUUAUUUUUAAAUCGCUAGUCGUCACUGAGAGUCUCUGAGUGAAAAGUUCUUGCAUCAUCAUGAGAAGCAGAAGAAGAUGCCUCACAGACAGUUGCAGAACAACCACUCAGAAAUAAAGGCCAAAGCCUGAGCCUUUCCUUACCACUGCAUGUGGUGAAUGAUGCCCUGACUUAGACCCACUAUGCCCUUGAGCAACGGCUUUAGAAGAUGACAUUGCUGGACUAGCAUCAUCAUCAUGACUGGUAGCAGCAGCUGCUGCACUAGUAUUUGGUUGAUCUUCUCUAAACUGAUAGUUAUCCAUUUGUCAAGUUGCAGAUCACUGCGUGGACCACAGGGCUUAUAGAUGCAUGUGAACAAAAUGCACAUGAUUAGAGUGCACCAACCAACCAGUACAAAAACAAUAGAUAUAUUAACACACUUGGCUGAGACGCUGAGAUGCGCUGACACACUGACGGAAACAGGAAGCCAGAAACUGGAAGUAUCAGGAGCUGAGAGCAGGCCGGCCGUGGGCGGACGGAGCAACGUGCGGGGGACAGCAGGCUCCCACCGCAACAACUGCAGGGGACAGGACGGGGGUGCCGGGAGCCAGAGGCCCAAUAACUGCAGGGGACUGGGCAGCAGCAGGGAAGCCUGAGCCUGAAGGCCCCCACAAAUAAAUCCUAAUGCAGAUAGGAGCACUUACAAGCUGCAAUUUGGAGACUGAAUGGUUGUAAAGAAAGUGCUUCAGUAAAAGCUCUUGAACCCUGAUUCAGAAGACCAUACCAAGUUCUUCUGACCACACAGACCUCAGCAGAAGUGGCGAUACGGACACUGGGGUACAAGAAAGUCACAAAGGAAGUAUCAUCCAGUUAUCCUACUGUACCAUGUAUAGAUACGGUUUGAAAAGUCGAAACCCUUAUAGAGGUCUUUGGAGACGCAGAAUGUGUUUUGCCAUUAUGGUGGUGGUUACCGUGAUCCUCAUUUGGUCAUUAAUGACUUGGAAACAUGACCAUUGUCAGAACUGCACAUAUACAGAAACCACAAACACUCACAGCAUUGUUAAAAGGGAAUUGUCCAAACCCCGGUUAAACUCCUUGGUACAGUCACAUUACAAAGCAGCCCAGAGUUUGGGAUUAAAGAACUCAUGGGUUUGUACACAUUCACCAAUAGCAGUUACAUCCAUGAAUUGGGUUGGAGUUCCCCUUAAUAUGACUGAAUUAUUCAAUCUUGAUUUUGAAGAGGCAAAGAAGCCCAAUAAGGUGUUUGGCCAAAAGUCUGUGUCACUUAUGACCAUUGGUAUGGCACGAGACCCAGACUUUUGUCUUGAAUUACCCAAAAUCGGAGAAAAUGACACAGUUACAGGGAUGGGUAAUGUAAUUGAAGAGUUGAUAAGUUUAACAGCAGAACCUAUACAACUGGGACUAGUAAAUUGUGCCCAGUCCAAGGUAAACUUUACUCAAACCCAUGGCUAUAAUGUUUACAACUAUGAUAAUGGUAACAAAAAAACUACCCUAGUAAGUGGAAUGAAAAUCCAAGUUGCAGAAACUGCGCAGGAAUGGUGGAGAAAGGUAUAUAUAACUCAAAGAUGUAAACAUAGAGUCCAAGCAGGUUUAACCCCAAGCUUGCAAGUAGAAGAAAGUACAUUAAUAAGUUUACGGGCAGUAGUACAUAACAUUCCAUAUAUCUUACCAGAAAAUGUAUAUUAUUUAUGCGGAAGCGAGGCAUACAAGUGGCUCCCAUAUGGAGGAUAUGGUAGCUGUACCUUAGGUCAGCUAGUGCCCACAACCUUUUACAGAGAUUCUGUCUCACUUGAUGAUACACAAGUGCCACAACAGAGGACCAGAACAGCUAUCCCAAGAAACCUAACUGACAUACCAUGGAUAAACAGGUGUUGCAUUAAACAGCCAUUUUCAUUUCUGAUAGAUUUGGCAAAGAUGUUAGACAAUAUUACUAAAUUGUAUGAUGAAACUUUUGAAUUUGUUUUGCAAGAGGUAAAGAUGAUGAAACGUAGGUGGCAAUCCCAUAAAAUGGUUUUGGAUUAUCUGACGGCUAAGGAAGGUGGUAUGUGCAUGGUUGUAGAAGAAGCUUGCUGUAAUUACAUUAAUGAUACAUAUGACGUUGAGAAGGCUAUUGAGGACCACCUAUCCCAAGUUAAAGAGUUGAAGAACCAAUUUGAUGAAGCUCAUUAUGAAGAUGAAGAGUUCUCUGGGUGGUUUUCAUGGUUGAACCCAAUGAAUUGGUUUUCUGGAAGUUUAAAGCAGAUUGGAGAAUUGUUAUGUGGUAUUAUAUCGUUUAUUGUCAAAAGAUUAGCUAUAUUUCUAGUAGUAUAUAUUGUGAUAAGAAUUGUGAUCUGGAUUAUUAAGCUAAUACUUACACUGAAAUGUUAUUAUACUAAAGGUAAAAAGAUCAACGAUUCAAAGGCCAUUAUGUUUAUUGGAUCCUAUGAUAAUGGUGAAUCUUCCCAAACCGGCGACCAGGCGAUUUAUCCUCAGCGUAAACCAGCCAAAUGUAUCCUAUGUAAUGAUGAACUGACUCCUGAGGAAAGCAAAACGCGCAAAAAGUGCAAAGCGAUUGUCCUUUCCCUGAUUACCAAUCGUCUGGAAACCCUGAAUGCAAAAUUAUUGCAAAAGGACUCAGUAAAGAUAUAGCAGCAGGAAAUUUGUUAGCAGUUAGGCAAAACCAUGUGCACUGCAGGGGGG